GGCAAAUCAGUGGCACUUCAUCAUCAUAAUUUUCAUAUUAUAUGGUUAUACAAAUUUGCUACUGGGGCUAGAAUGGUGCAAAGUACAGGAAAUAAAAAACGAAAAACGGGAGAAGCUAAAGUUCUAACAACAGCAAAGUGCGUGGGCGUGAUUCACAAAAAGAAUGGAGCACCAAGAUGAACUUUGAAGAAAAGGGCACAAACAACAAAACAAGAGUGAAGCCGCGUGAAUAAAUUUAAGAAAAUACACAUUAUGUACAUUUAAUUAAACUUGAAUAAAUCGUUAUAUUUGAACUAGA